GAUGAACGUUGGCGGUGUGCCUAAUACAUGCAAGUCGAACGGAGCUAAUAGCAAUAUUGGCUUAGUGGCGAACGGGUGAGUAACGCGUUGGUGAUCUGCCUUGAAGUGUGGAAUAACGUUUCGAAAGGAACGCUAAUACCGCAUGUGCUCUCGAUUUUCAGAAAGUUGAGAGUAAAGGAUUUAUUCGCUUCAAGAGGAGCCUGCGUCCCAUCAGCUGGUUGGUAGGGUAACGGCCUACCAAGGCUAUGACGGGUAGGGGACCUGAGAGGGUGGCCCCCCACAAUGGAACUGAAACACGGUCCAUACACCUACGGGUGGCAG
rnacentral:rRNA from 1 species